AACGGCAGAGAGUAAGAGAGAGAAAGAGGUGUUUGCUGCGUUUGAAUGAGAUUAAACAACGCCGCUCUUCUUCUUCUUCUGCAAUCCACCUCUCCGCCUAGGGUUUUCUCUUCCACUCUCCGCCGCCCUUUCCUCUCUCGCUCCCGCUUCAGCUUCUCUUCUUCCGCCGCAGCCAUGCCUGGUUCCGAACCAUCAUCGGAGAUUCAAUGGCCAGCCAAGACCGUCAGGGACACGUAUUUCGAUUUCUUCAAAGGGAAAGGUCACAAGUUCUGGCCAUCGAGCCCCGUUGUUCCACACAACGAUCCCACUCUCCUCUUCGCCAACGCCGGAAUGAACCAGUACAAGCCAAUAUUUUUGGGAACGGCUGAUCCGAAUACGGAGCUCAGCAAGCUAACUCGGGCGUGUAACACACAGAAGUGUAUUCGUGCUGGUGGGAAGCAUAAUGAUCUUGACGAUGUGGGGAAGGAUACUUACCAUCACACCUUCUUUGAGAUGCUCGGUAACUGGUCAUUUGGAGAUUAUUUCAAGAAGGAAGCUAUUGAGUGGGCUUGGGAGCUCUUGACUAAGGUUUAUGGGCUACCGACUGAUCGAAUUUAUGCUACCUACUUUGGCGGGGAUGAGAAAGCUGGCCUUCAACCUGAUAAUGAAGCUCGAGAUAUAUGGCUUCAGUUUCUCCCACCUGGACGUGUCCUCCCUUUUGGUUGCAAGGACAACUUCUGGGAAAUGGGAGACACAGGUCCGUGUGGACCUUGUACUGAGAUUCAUUAUGAUCGUGUUGGCAACCGUGAUGCUGCAUCCUUAGUUAACAAUGACGAUCCAACUUGUUUGGAAAUAUGGAAUCUUGUGUUUAUUCAGUUCAACAGAGAGAGUGAUGGCUCACUAAAACCUCUCCCUGCUAAGCAUGUCGAUACUGGAAUGGGUUUCGAGAGGUUAACUUCUGUUCUUCAGAACAAAAUGAGCAACUACGAUACAGAUGUGUUCAUGCCUAUCUUUGAUGACAUUCAGAAGGCCACAGGAGCGAGGCCAUAUUCUGGAAAAGUUGGUGUGGAAGAUGUCGACAGAGUUGACAUGGCUUAUAGAGUGGUUGCGGAUCAUAUUAGGACACUAUCAUUUGCUAUCGCAGAUGGCUCUCGUCCUGGUAAUGAGGGCCGUGAGUAUGUUCUACGGCGUAUCCUUCGCAGAGCAGUUCGCUAUGGAAAGGAGAUCCUAAAAGCUGAAGAAGGUUUUUUCAACGGACUCGUCAGUUCUGUUAUUCGAGUGAUGGGCGAUACCUUUACAGAGUUGAAGGAACAUGAGAAGAAGAUCACAGAGAUAAUAAAAGAAGAGGAAGCAAGCUUUUGCAAGACUUUGGCGAAGGGAAUUGAGAAAUUUCAGAAAGCUGGACAGGCAGUUCAGGGGAAUACAUUGAGUGGAGAGGAUGCUUUUGUCUUAUGGGAUACGUUUGGGUUCCCAUUAGAUCUCACACAGUUGAUGGCUGAAGAAAGAGGGUUGCUGGUUGAUGUUGAUGGCUUCAACAAAGCCAUGGAAGAGGCGAGGGAAAGAUCUAGAAGUGCCCAGAAUAAGCAAGCUGGUGGUUCCAUUGUUAUGGAUGCUGAUGCUACAUCAAAAUUGCACAAGGCUGGUGUUUUAGCAACAGAUGACUCUUUUAAAUACACUUGGUUCAAGGAUCACGAGAGUGAAGUAAAGGCUAUCUACACUGGCUCUGCUUUUCUGGAAAGUUCAGCUGCUGGCGAUAAUGUUGGACUAGUUUUGACGUCGUCUAGUUUCUAUGCUGAGCAGGGUGGUCAGAUUUUCGAUACAGGACUUAUUGAAGGCUCGUUUGGUACAUUCAACGUAUGUAAUGUCCAAAUAUUUGGAGGCUUUGUUCUUCAUAUUGGUUAUCUCUCAAAAGAAACUGGAGUUGUAUCUGUGGGAGAUAAAGUGACUUGCAAGGUUGACUAUGAGAGGCGUAAGCUCAUCGCUCCUAACCAUACUUGUACACAUAUGUUGAAUUUUGCACUGAAGGAAGUGCUCGGGGAUCAUAUUGAUCAGAAGGGAUCAAUAGUUCUUCCUGAAAAACUGCGUUUUGAUUUUUCUCACGGCAAGCCGGUUGAUCCUGAAGAUUUAAGAAAGAUCGAAGCCAUAGUGAAUAAACAGAUCAAGGAUGAACUGGAUGUAUUUUCGAAGGAAUCAGUGCUUUCUGAAGCCAAGCGAAUCAAAGGUUUAAGAGCAGUGUUUGGUGAAGUCUACCCUGAUCCUGUUAGAGUGGUGUCGAUUGGGAGACGGGUCGAGGACCUCUUGGCUGAUCCCGAAAACAAUGAGUGGUCAUCACUUUCUUCUGAGUUUUGUGGAGGAACCCACAUAACAAACACCCGUGAAGCGAAAGCUUUUGCUCUUCUAUCAGAAGAAGGAAUUGCUAAAGGUAUUCGUAGGGUAACUGCUGUGACUACCGAAUGUGCUUUUGAUGCAUUGAACGUGGCGUCCUCACUUGAAAAAGAAGUCGAGGAUGCAUCCAAAGCGGAGGGGAGUGCAUUGGAAAAGAAAGUUGCUGCUUUGAAAAGCCGGGUAGACUCGGCAAUUAUGCCAGCGGCCAAAAAGGCAGAUAUAAGGGCCAAGAUUGCUCUGCUUCAGAAUGAAGUGAGAAAAGCUCAAAAGAAAAUAGCAGAGCAGAACCUGAAGAUAUCUGUGAAAGUAGCAACAGAGGCAGCAGAGUCUGCAGCAUCUGAUGGGAAGACAUUCUGCAUUAUCCAGCUUGAUGUAGGUCUCGAUGCAGCUGCCGUGCGAGAAGCUGUCUCGAAAGUUAUGGAAAAGAAGGGAAUGUCGAUAAUGGUGUUCAGCACAGAUGAAACGACCAACAAGGCGGUUGUGUGUGCGGGAGUUCCAGACAAAUCUGAUAAAUUCAAGCAAUUAGACGUCACUGAGUGGCUUACUACUGCAUUGGGUCCUCUGAAAGGGAGAUGCGGGAAAGGGAAAAGUGGUCUUGCAUCUGGACAGGGAACGGAUGCCUCUCAAGUGAACGCAGCUUUGGAUCUGGCUGCAUCAUUUGCAUCACUGAAACUCAACUGAUUGAUGUGGAGGUGAUUACAGAAUCUGUGUGGUCUUGGACAACCUCUACUCAUUUGAUACCAUUGUAUACCGUUUUACUCAUUUUAAGAUCUACUGUUCUCUCAUUUCUUGUGUCGAAUUCGUGGUACUUCUUAGUCAGUCAAAGUUAGCAAUUGGUGGUACCUCUUUUGAGCCAAUCCGGUGAUGGUUCUACUGGUUUGGUUUUAUAUUUCAAUAAUUUAUGGAACAUAAAAGCUGUUCACUCGUUUCUUUGGUUUGAUAUGGUUUCAGUUCA